AAGCUCUCUGUUGGACUGAAGGAUUCUAAAUGUAAACUGGAGAAACUGAGGCUGGAAUGCUGUGGUGUCACAGAUGAAGGCUGUGCUGCUCUGGCUUCAGCUCUGACAUCAAACCCCUCACACCUGAGAGAACUGGACCUGAGAUAUAAUUAUAACAUAGGAGACACAGGAAAGAAUCUUCUCUCUGCUCUAAAGGAUGAUCCACAGAAUAAGCUGGAGAAACUGCUGUUCUGAUAAACACUGAUCCUCUAAUGGAUGUGAAUAAGACAGUCAGUGAGAGAAUCCAGUCUGGGUGUGGUGACCUUUAACUGAGUGGGCAGCCGUGCUCUGCAGGAUGGUGAACCGGGCCCGUGACUUAAGGGUUGCCGGUUCGAUUCCCAUAACCAACAUCCAUAGAUGUGUGCCCUUGGGCACA